AGCAGCCGCGGUAAUUCCAGCUCCAAUAGCGUAUAUUAAAGUUGUUGCAGUUAAAAAGCUCGUAGUUGAAUUUCGGGAUCAAUGUUUCGGUCAUGCCGUUGGUAUGUACUGAUAUUAUUGAUUUCUCACCUUCUAAAGAACCGUAAUGCCAUUAAUUUGGUGUCACGGGGAAUUAGGACUGUUACCUUGAAAAAUUAGAGUGUUUAAAGCAGGCUCACGCUUGAAUACAUUAGCAUGGAAUAAUGAAAUAGGACAUCCGAUUCUAUUUUGUUGGUUUCUAGGAUCGAUGUAAUGAUUAAUAGGGAUAGUUGGGGGCAUUAGUAUUCAAUUGUCAGAGGUGAAAUUCUUGGAUUUAUUGAAGACUAACUACUGCGAAAGCAUUUGCCAAGGAUGUUUUCAUUAAUCAAGAACGAAAGUUAGGGGAUCGAAGACGAUCAGAUACCGUCGUAGUCUUAACCAUAAACUAUGCCGACUAGGGAUCGGAUGAUGUUAAUUUUUAAUGA
rnacentral:rRNA from 1 species